AAACACUUUCUUAAAAUACUACAUACUACAAGCACUGUCUCUCAAGAGGUGAAAAUCUAAAGCAAAGAAACAAGUUGCAAGACCAGCAGCAGUGCUACCUCAUCAGACUGCAGCAGACAGCAAACAAGGAAGCGGGCACAUUUGCCAUUUGUAUGAAUAGCUUUGCAAGGCAACCCAACUCCUUUCAAAAAGAGCGUUACUUCAGCUUCUUCCAGAGUGGUGCAUGCUAGAAGAAGAACAUACCUCAGAAAAUAGCAUCUCACCUGAGUUAUAUGUUGAUACAUUAGCAGCAUUUUACAUUCAUGUCUUGCCUUUGGCAUAAUCUACUCUUGUACUUUCCAUUGUAAGACUGUGGUAUAGUUGGAUAGAUACCUGCGGACAAGUUACUCAUACCUUCAC
rnacentral:lncRNA from 1 species